CCUACGGGAGGCAGCAGUGAGGAAUAUUGGUCAAUGGGCGGGAGCCUGAACCAGCCAAGCCGCGUGAGGGAAGAAGGUCCAGCGUAUCGUAAACCUCUUUUGUCAGGGAACAAAGGCGGGGACUAGUCCCCGGAUGAGGGUACCUGAAGAAAAAGGAUCGGCUAACUCCGGGCCAGCAGCCGCGGUAAUACGGAGGAUGCGAGCGUUAUCCGUAUUUAUUGGGUUUAAAGGGUGCGCAGGGGGCUUGUUAAGUCAGCGGUAAAAGCCCGGGGCGAAACCCGGGAGAGCCGUUGAAACUGGGGGGCUGGAGUUGGAGAGAGGUACGCGGAAUGCGCGGUGUAGCGGUGAAAUGCUUAGAUAUCGCGAAGAACCCCGAUUGCGAAGGCAGCGUACCGGCUCGAAACUGACGCUGAGGCACGAAAGCGUGGGUAUCGAACAGGAUUAGAUACCCUGGUAGUC
rnacentral:rRNA from 1 species